AUACUUCCUCUUCACAUCAAUGAAGAUGACUAACUAAUUAUUGGAGAAUAAUUAUAAUGUGAGAAGAGAAUAAUUGUAUAGGGUUGAUUAUUUUGUGCAGGUUAUGAAAAACGUACCGCUUAUUUUAUACUAUAACUUAUGAAAUCUUUGAACUGAAAUAAGAAUUAUAAACUGUUUAAAUUAAAUAAAGAAUUAUGACUAUUUUAAAAUGUGAC
rnacentral:lncRNA from 1 species